UCAAGAGAAGUACAGCACAGGCAGUGAGAGUGCAACCUUUUCCCACAGCACUUCAUCCAUUUGCUUCAAUCCCUAUCUAGAGGGACCCCUCUAGAGA
ensembl:misc_RNA